AGCGAAUCAAGUACACUGAAUAAUUUUACGUACUUUUGCUUCUUUACUUAAUAUAUAACAAUCUUUAUCUAUCAAGAGCAGUGUAAAGAAUUAGACCAAGACGAGCUGAUUAUUGAAAAGCAUAAACUCGACUUUUAUACUAUACUACAGUGUCUCAACGAGUAGUUGUAGUACGAGUAGUACGAGAGUACAUGUAGCACAUGUAACUGUAGAGGAAUUCUUAUUGUAUCUUUCUUUAUCUUCAAGUCUGAACAAGGUUUAACGAGCAUCAGUAGCUUUUUUGAUUUCUGUUAGACUGCUGUUCAUUAAAAGUUUAUGUGAUUAAUUUUAAGUAAUUUUUUUAUAUUGAACAAAUGAC